UCCUCCCAACGAGGCCGUGCCGCCGCUCCGGGCUCCUCCCGGCGAGGCCUCACCGCCGCCCGAGCUCCUCCCAGCGAAGCGGCACCGUCGCCCCGAGCUCCUCCCCGCGAGGCCACGGCGUCGUCGUCCUGAGCUCCUCCGGCGAGGCCGCGCUGCCGCCGCCUUGAGCUCCUCCUGGCGAGGCCACGCCGCCUCCGCCGGAUCUGCGCUGAGAGAAGGGGGGAGAUGAGAGAAGCUGUCGGAUGCAAGAGGAGAAGCCAAGAGAGUUGGGUGGGAGAGGAAGGAGUUAUUUUAGAGAAGUUUCUGUUUUUUUUAUGUUUACUCUAAAAUUUAGG
rnacentral:lncRNA from 1 species